rnacentral:rRNA from 1 species
UACGUAGGCAGCGAGCGUUGUUCGGAAUUACUGGGCGUAAAGAGUGUGUAGGCGGUGCUCCCAGUCUGUUGUGAAAUCUCCCGGCUUAACUGGGAGGGUGCAGCGGAAACUAGAGUGCUAGAGGGUGGGAGAGGUAAGCGGAAUUCCUGGUGUAGCGGUGAAAUGCGUAGAUAUCAGGAGGAACACCUGUGGUGUAGACAGCUUACUGGACCACUUCUGACGCUGAGACACGAAAGCGUGGGUAGCGAACAGG